rfam:Camelus ferus unplaced genomic scaffold scaffold332, whole genome shotgun sequence.
GAGGGUAUGGCUCAGUGGCAGAGUGCCUGCUUAGCAUGCAUGAGGUCUCGGGUUCAAUCCCCGGUACCUCCA